AUGGAACUGCAAGGCCUGCAAGAGGCGCUGAAAGUAGAGAUCCAAUGUCAUCAGAAUCAGACGUUGUGCAAAGGCCUCAAUGAACUUCAGAACGGACAGAAGCUGGCGGUCAGAAGCUGUCCUGUUGGGACGACUAAGCCGCUGUCGCUCAUCAAGCCUCCCAGUCAGGGCAUCGCCAUCUCCGUGGUGCCGGCCAAGGCUCCCGUUUCCAUGGUAACCGCACACAUUAACGGACAGAAGGCGGUGGCGAGCUCAGAGCCACUGCAGACGUCCCCCAUCAACCUUCAGACGGGCGGCAGGGCCGUGGCCGCCGGAGUCCACCCGUUCAGCAGCAGCAGGAGAGCCGGAGAGCUGCCCCCCUCCCAGGUAACGCCCCUGCUGAGGUCACAGUGA
rnacentral:lncRNA from 1 species